GACUACACCUCCCCCACCCUCCUGCAGCAGGGUGGAUCCCACCUAGCGGGACUCCCCACCCACCCCUCCAGGCCUUCUCCACUCCGGACUCUGGCCACUUGCCACCGUUGUCGCCCGCCGCCGCUGCAGGGAGGGUGCACGGAGGGAGCAGACCGUCUCCGGAGCCCGCCGCCCUGGGGGCUGCAGUGAUGGGGCCGGGCUGAGGCACCUGCCGGCGGGGUAGCAGGGCAGUCGAGCACGGAGGGAGGGGCGGGCCUCCAGGGGACUUCAGCGGGAGCCGGGCCUGGGGCGGUGCCGCACUUGCACACGGAGUGUGGGGGGCCAGGCCUGGGACCAGGAGCUGGGGCCGGGCUUCGGCGCAGAGGCAGGAAGAGGAAGCGGCACCCGCUUCGGGGACCCAGCCGGCGGCCAGGCCACCGCGCCCACCCGGCCGAUGGCACCGUGUUCCUGCGCCUCGGGAGGGAGGAGGCUCUGCGCGGGACUGCAGGUUCUGCCCCGCAUCGGAGUGAUCGCUGAGCCUGACGCUCUCGAAGGCUGGGCCUGGGGCCCGCAAUCUACUCCGGAGGCUUUCCCACUGGGCAGGGUCGCUAGCAGGCAGGAGGAAGCAUUCCCAUGUGAAAGAUGAGCUCCCUAUAAAAGCAACGCUCUUAUCAUCGAGAACAGAAAGUUGAAGCCAAGAGAGAGCUCCACAAGCUGACCUUGUUAAACUAACCCUUAUCUUCUUAGUCGCUUCUUUACCCAAUUAACUACCCUAGCCGAAGCCCCUUUGCCUUAUUACAUUUUGCAACAGUGUUCGUUGUCCAAUUCAGUAUACAAGUGAGUGACUCUGGAUGCUUUUUGGGGUCUUCGUUUCCUUAUGAGGGCUUCUGUGCCAUGUAAAACUUGUAUUAAAUAAAUUUGUAUGCUUUUCUCCUGUUAAUCUGUCUAUAUCGAUUGAACUUUAGGGUCCAGUCAGAACCCAAAGAGGAUGGAGGUGGAGUUUUGGCUCCUCUACAGCUAUCUGAAUAAUCAAAAUUCAAGAUAUUCCAUGUUCUUUCUGAGUUUCUUUGAAAUUAAAAAUGCAGACAACCACUCAACUAAUACGUCAGCGAGAUACGUUUUCUGUCCUUAUUGCCUUACUGAUGAAAUUGCCUUUAUUCAUAAAAAAUAAAUGUGGGAGUCUUGUUUAUUUAUUUCUAAUGACAUUAACUUGACAUUAACCUUGGUGCUCUUGGGAACCAUAAAUGGGCCCUGUACUACUUGUUACAGAGUAUAAAUUCCCAGAACUACAAGUACAUCAUAUUCCUCAAGU
rnacentral:lncRNA from 1 species